rnacentral:rRNA from 1 species
CUGUAAGCCGUUGAAGGUGUGCUGUGAGGCAUGCUGGAGGUAUCAGAAGUGCGAAUGCUGACAUAAGUAACGAUAAAGCGGGUGAAAAGCCCGCUCGCCGGAAGACCAAGGGUUCCUGUCCAACGUUAAUCGGGGCAGGGUGAGUCGACCCCUAAGGCGAGGCCGAAAGGCGUAGUCGAUGGGAAACAGGUUAAUAUUCCUGUACUUGGUGUUACUGCGAAGGGGGGACGGAGAAGGCUAUGUCAGCCGGGCGACGGUUGUCCCGGUUUAA